CUAAAGGGCCGUGUCUUUGUUCUUUUGCUUGUACAGCAUCUAACGCUGUGACAAUCCAAAGCUGAGGAUGAAGAGAAAGCAGCAUGACAUAGGUGCAUACAAUGGCCUAAGCAUCCAAAUUCAGUCUUCACUUUUGCAAAAGUGCAACACUGUUCAAUAGGUCAGGUAACAGGGAAGGACUGCAUGUUGGUUUCUUUUCCCCUGAACAUUUCUUCCAGAAAGGGAGGCCCAUGAAAUACAGUCUGUAACCUGCUGCAGGAUGGGUGGGGACUGGAACUGACCAGGUACAAACUGUGUGUGCACUUUAGACCUGGGACACGCACACCACAGCUGGAUGUGGAACUCCCUGGAUGAGAGCCUGCUGGUUAUUUUCGCUGAUGCUGUCAGUAAUGCUGAUCAUUGUAAACAUAGAAGAAUGUUCCCAGGAUUUUGAAAAGGGUGACAAUAACCUGGAAACUAGAAGCUAUGCAAAGGAGGGGAAAGGGAUGCAUGGGAUUUUCAGGACUUCAGAUGCUCCAGUGAUGAAUGAAGGAUGGAUUAUGUAGGAUGAAUUCAUACAAAUGAAUCUUACCUACAUAAGACGAAUUACGUCACCUUAAUACUAGGGAUGAAAAAGGUAAUUAUCACGUCUAACUAUAAAACCCCCCAUAUAUUAUAGGACCCUUUACCCAUUUCAGUGUUUUCCAUUUCAGACCACGGUGCUCUGUCCACCCCUCCACAUCACACUUAUCCCUGCAUGCACCUCGGCUCAUCGUGACUCACAGAGGUGGAUCACAGCUGACUGAUGUGACAUUAUUUGCAUCAUCUCAGAUUUGGGGGCUCCUCCAUUCUCUCUUAGGUUGAGAAAUGGGCCCUGUGUGUUGACAUCAACUCACAGAGAAAGGAGCCACGUGUGUCGCUACACUGGGCCUGACCUCAUGGACGUUUACUCAAGAAUUUACUCAUGGAGUUGGCAGGUCUCUAGGAUCCUCCCAUUGCUUUUUUGUAUGGCACAGGCCAGAAUGUCCUUUUAAGAGCCUUAUUUAUUUAUUUAUUUAUUUAUUUACUUGUCAUUCCCAUGGCAGGUGGAGUUCCCAGGCCAGGGAUCAAACGCGCUCUACAGCAGUGACAGGGCUGGGUCUGUAACCUGCUGCCCCACAAGAGAACUUCCAGAAUGUCCUUUUUCAACAAAAAUAUCACUCAUCGCUUUUCAUCCUCCUGACGUACGUUCUGCCAAUUUAGCAGUCAUUUAUAUG
rnacentral:lncRNA from 1 species